UGUGAGGUUAAGCGACUAAGCGUACACGGUGGAUGCCUUGGCAGUCAGAGGCGAUGAAGGACGUGCUAAUCUGCGAUAAGCGUCGGUGAGGUGAUAUGAACCGUUAUAACCGGCGAUUUCCGAAUGGGGAAACCCAGUGUGUUUCGACACACUAUCAUUAACUGAAUCCAUAGGUUAAUGAGGCGAACCGGGGGAACUGAAACAUCUAAGUACCCCGAGGAAAAGAAAUCAACCGAGAUUCCCCCAGUAGCGGCGAGCGAACGGGGAGGAGCCCAGAGCCUGAAUCAGUGUGUGUGUUAGUGGAAGCGUCUGGAAAGGCGCGCGAUACAGGGUGACAGCCCCGUACACAAAAAUGCACAUAUUGUGAGCUCGAUGAGUAGGGCGGGACACGUGGUAUCCUGUCUGAAUAUGGGGGGACCAUCCUCCAAGGCUAAAUACUCCUGACUGACCGAUAGUGAACCAGUACCGUGAGGGAAAGGCGAAAAGAACCCCGGCGAGGG
rnacentral:rRNA from 1 species